CUGACUUGAGGUGCAGGAGGACUACAAAGAUAAAUUACGUCCUCCCUAAAUGAAGGCAUGGGCGACUUUCUAAAGUCAUACCAGACAAAUCUCAGGCAUGCAAAGCAGAGGAAAAACCUCUGGUGAAAGGGCCUGUCACAGGGAGAAACAUCCCUAUUUCUAUGAGUGGUGAUGAAAAGUAAUUAAGCCUACAGGGUGACACCAUUUUUGUAUGAUUUUCUUGCAAGCCUAGGAAAAUGGUGAAAUAUAUUCUCCUCUCCAGGCUCAGAACAGGGCCUAGAAAUCAGAGGUCAAGCUGUCCCCAGGUGAACCUGGCAGGGACAUGCUUCUUUGGGACCAGAGCAAGCCACAAAUGCUACUUUCAUCCUCAAAAAGAAAAGAGGGAGAGAACUUUACAUUGGCUGAGAAAGUGUGAGAAAUUCAUCCCACUGUACCUUUCCUUGUGGAUAACCAGCUGACCUCUGCCUUCAGCACCCACCGCUGCCUCAGCUGGGCACCCUUCUGACACAUUAAUUCUACAGCAAGGCUUGGACACCCACUGUUUCAUCCUUCCUAAAGAUUAUUUUGGC
rnacentral:lncRNA from 1 species